rnacentral:rRNA from 1 species
UACGUAGGGCGCAAGCGUUGUCCGGAAUUAUUGGGCGUAAAGAGCUCGUAGGCGGCCAGUUGCGUCUGCUGUGAAAUCCCGGGGCUCAACCCCGGGCGUGCAGUGGAUACGGGCUGGCUAGAGGCAGGCAGGGGAGAACGGAAUUCCCGGUGUAGCGGUGAAAUGCGCAGAUAUCUGGAGGAACACCGGUGGCGAAGGCGGCAUCCUGGACCGACAUUGACGCUGAGGCGCGAAAGCCAGGGGAGCAAACGGG